CCUGAGAAACCCAAAAGAUCGAAUGGGGAGAUUCAUCGUUCAGCUGCGCUGGCUUCCGUGCGGCACGCGAUGACGGGGACCUCGGUCUCGCGUCACGCUGCCGCUGCGGCAUGUCCGGCGCAGUCGGCGUGCACUUCUCCCCUAGUAGGACGUCGCGACCCGUUGGGUGUCGGACCAAUGGCCGGUCGGUCGUCUGUCGCGCUUGCUCUGCACUGCGCGGCAGACCGUCCGGUCGAACGUCCGACUGCCCGGCGGUAUCGAACGUUGAAAACUGGUACUGGGCCGCAUUCAGUGCGUUCCUGGCUCGUCGGCAGGCUCGUCUCGCUCGGAUUUACGGACCUAGCGCCGUUGCCGGGCGCUUGACGCGGCCGUUAGUCGGCGAUGUCCUCGGACUGGCUCUUACCGGUCGGCGACGCUACUGCUUUGGGUACUUUC
rnacentral:rRNA from 1 species